rnacentral:rRNA from 1 species
UGGGGAAUAUUGGACAAUGGGCGCAAGCCUGAUCCAGCCAUGCCGCGUGAGUGAUGAAGGCCCUAGGGUUGUAAAGCUCUUUCACCGGUGAAGAUAAUGACGGUAACCGGAGAAGAAGCCCCGGCCAACUUCGUGCCAGCAGCCGCGGUAAUACGAAGGGGGCUAGCGUUGUUCGGAUUUACUGGGCGUAAAGCGCACGUAGGCGGACUAUUAAGUCAGGGGUGAAAUCCCGGGGCUCAACCCCGGAACUGCCUUUGAUACUGGUAGUCUUGAGUUCGAGAGAGGUGAGUGGAAUUCCGAGUGUAGAGGUGAAAUUCGUAGAUAUUCGGAGGAACACCAGUGGCGAAGGCGGCUCACUGGCUCGAUACUGACGCUGAGGUGCGAAAGCGUGGGGAGCAAACAGG